AAGACUAUAGACCUGCGGAGUACCUGCGGAGGGAUCAUUACCGAGUUUACAACUCCCAAACCCCAAUGUGAACAUUACCUUUACUGUUGCUUCGGCGGGAUCGCCCCGGGCGCGGCCGAGAGGCCCAGCCCCGGAUCCAACGUGCGCCCGCCGGAGGACCCCAGACUCCAUGUUUCUUGCAAGGUAUUUCUGAGCUGCUCCUAGCGAGCAAAACAAAAAAUGAAUCAAAACUUUCAACAA
rnacentral:misc_RNA from 1 species